rnacentral:tRNA from 1 species
GCGGUGGUAGCUCAGCUGGAUAGAGCAUCGGUUUUCUAAACCGACGGUCGUGGGUUCGAGUCCCGCCCACCGUGCCA